UACGGAGGGUGCGAGCGUUGUCCGGAAUUAUUGGGUUUAAAGGGUGCGUAGGCGGUCGAUUAAGUCCGAGUUGAAAUCCCACAGCUUAACUGUGGAACUGGCUUGGAUACUGGUUGACUUGAGUAUGGUUGAGGUAGGCGGAAUUUAUGAUGUAGCGGUGAAAUGCAUAGAUAUCAUAAAGAACUCCAAUUGCGUAGGCAGCUUACUGGACCAUAACUGACGCUGAGGCACGAAAGCGUGGGGAGCGAACAGG
rnacentral:rRNA from 1 species